rnacentral:rRNA from 1 species
GAUGAACGCUGGCGGCGUGCCUAACACAUGCAAGUCGAGCGAACAGAUGAGGAGUUUGCGCCUCUGACGUUAGCGGCGGACGGGUGAGUAACACGUGGAGAACCUACCUAUAAGACUGGGAUAAUUUUGGGAAACCGGAGCUAAUACCGGAUAAUAUAUUGAACCGCAUGGUUCAAUAGUGAAAGACGGUUUUGCUGUCACUUAUAGAUGGAUCCGCGCCGCAUUAGCUAGUUGGUAAGGUAACGGCUUACCAAGGCAACGAUGCGUAGCCGCCCUGAGAGGGUGAUCGGCCACACUGGAUCAGAGACACGUUCGAGACACCGACGGUAAGACGCAGUCGGGAAUCUUCCGCGAUGCACGAAAGCCUGACGGAGCACCGCCGCGUGAGUGCUGAAGGUCUUCUGAUCGUAGAACUCUGUUAUUAGGGAAGAAGGAAUGUGUAAGUAACUAUGCACAUAUUGACGGUACCGAGUCAGAAAGCCACGGCUAACUACGUG